CCACUGUAGAAGCUAAACAGGAUAGCGCUAGCCUUUUAAGCUAGAAAAAGAGAACUUUCCACCCUCCUUAGUGAC
rnacentral:tRNA from 1 species